CUGCCCUUGUCAGCACGUACACUAACGUUGGAACGAUACCAAGAGUAGCACGGGCCCUGCACAAGGAUGGCACGCUAAACUUGUGAAGCAUUCCCUACGAAA